rnacentral:lncRNA from 1 species
GCGUGAUGAAUAAUUUAUAUGGCAUAGGAAGUAGGGAGCGUGAGGAUCGGUUCUUUGCAUGAUUAGCCCAAAGAAUUAGAAAUGGGGAAAUAACUCUUUGUUCCAUAAUUGUAUCAAGUUUUUAGUGACAAAGGGGAAAUUAUUGUUGAUGUUUGGCAACAAAUGGGAUAUUUGUGGGUGGAACAUAUUAUGGAGGAGGUCUUUCUUGAAUGAGAAGUUGUUUAACAUGAGA